rnacentral:rRNA from 1 species
GGGCUUGACAUCCCACGAACCUGCCUGAAAGGGCGGGGUGCCCGCAAGGGAGCGUGGAGACAGGUGGUGCAUGGCUGUCGUCAGCUCGUGUCGUGAGAUGUUGGGUUAAGUCCCGCAACGAGCGCAACCCUCACCCCUAGUUGCCACCGGGUAAUGCCGAGCACUCGAGGGGAACUGCCAGCGUCAAGCUGGAGGAAGGCGGGGAUGACGUCAAGUCAUCAUGCCCCUUACGUCCUGGGCUACACACGUGCUACAAUGGCCAGUACAAAGGGAUGCGAGACCGCGAGGUGGAGCUAAUCCCAAAAAGCUGGUCUAAGUUCAGAUUGCAGUCUGCAACUCGACUGCAUGAAGGAGGAAUCGCUAGUAAUCGCGCAUCAGUCCGGCGCGGUGAAUACGUUCCCGGGCCUUGUACACACCGCCCGUCACACCACGAAGGCUUACUGUACUCGAAGUCGCUGAG